ACAUCAGUGAGGUACAUCCUUACCUGUUGUCCUCCACUAGAGGGCUGCAGAGCAUGAUGAUUGGAGUGGGAUGAUGUCAUGAUUACUCCCCCUCUCUCUGUGUGGAGGUCUGCAACACCACUACAGAGAUAAUCUGAU